rnacentral:rRNA from 1 species
GAUCAACGCUGGCGGCGUGCAUAACACAUGCAAGUCGAACGAUGAAGCUUAACUGAUUUCUUCGGAAUGAUUUUAAGUGGAUUAGUGGCGGACGGGUGAGUAACGCGUGAGUAACCUGCCUUGCACAAGGGGAUAGCCGUUGGAAACGACGAAUAAUACCCUAUGAUAUAAACUCUUCGCAUGAAGGGCUUAUCAAAGAUUUAUCGGUGUAAGAUGGACUCGCGUCUGAUUAGCUAGUUGGUGGGGUAACAGCCUACCAAGGCAACGAUCAGUAGCCGGCUUGAGAGAGUGUACGGCCACAUUGGGACUGAGACACGGCCCAGACUCCUACGGGAGGCAGCAGUGGGGAAUUUUGCACAAUGGGGGAAACCCUGAUGCAGCGACGCCGCGUGAUUUAGAAGGCCUUCGGGUUGUAAAAAUCUUUUGUAUGGGAAGAAAAUGACAGUACCAUACGAAUAAGAACCGGCUAAUUACGUG